UACGGAGGGUGCGAACGUUGCUCGGAAUCAUUGGGCGUAAAGCGCACGUAGGCGGCGGCGUAAGCGGGAUGUGAAAGCCCAGGGCUCAACCCUGGAAGUGCAUCCCGAACUGUGUCGCUUGAAUCUCGGAGGGGGACAGAGAAUUCCCGGUGUAGAGGUGAAAUUCGUAGAUAUCGGGAGGAAUACCAGUGGCGAAGGCGCUGUCCUGGACGAAGAUUGACGCUGAGGUGCGAAAGCGUGGGGAGCAAACGGG
rnacentral:rRNA from 1 species